AUAAUUAAAUUCACUUCUAUCUGCAGUCGACGCUUCUUUCCUCCCGAGUGCUUGCACUCAAUUGGAAAGAGGAGUGGCGGACGGGUGAGUAACACGUGGGUAACCUACCCAUCAGAGGGGGAUAACACUUGGAAACAGGUGCUAAUACCGCAUAACAGUUUAUGCCGCAUGGCAUAAGAGUGAAAGGCGCUUUCGGGUGUCGCUGAUGGAUGGACCCGCGGUGCAUUAGCUAGUUGGUGAGGUAACGGCUCACCAAGGCCACGAUGCAUAGCCGACCUGAGAGGGUGAUCGGCCACACUGGGACUGAGACACGGCCCAGACUCCUACGGGAGGCAGCAGUAGGGAAUCUUCGGCAAUGGACGAAAGUCUGACCGAGCAACGCCGCGUGAGUGAAGAAGGUUUUCGGAUCGUAAAACUCUGUUGUUAGAGAAGAACAAGGACGUUAGUAACUGAACGUCCCCUGACGGUAUCUAACCAGAAAGCCACGGCUAACUACGUGCCAGCAGCCGCGGUAAUACGUAGGUGGCAAGCGUUGUCCGGAUUUAUUGGGCGUAAAGCGAGCGCAGGCGGUUUCUUAAGUCUGAUGUGAAAGCCCCCGGCUCAACCGGGGAGGGUCAUUGGAAACUGGGAGACUUGAGUGCAGAAGAGGAGAGUGGAAUUCCAUGUGUAGCGGUGAAAUGCGUAGAUAUAUGGAGGAACACCAGUGGCGAAGGCGGCUCUCUGGUCUGUAACUGACGCUGAGGCUCGAAAGCGUGGGGAGCAAACAGGAUUAGAUACCCUGGUAGUCCACGCCGUAAACGAUGAGUGCUAAGUGUUGGAGGGUUUCCGCCCUUCAGUGCUGCAGCACACGCAUUAAGCACUCCGCCUGGGGAGUACGACCGCGAGGUUGAAACUCAAAGGAAUUGACGGGGGCCCGCACAAGCGGUGGAGCAUGUGGUUUAAUUUCGAAGCAACGCGAAGUACCCUUACCAGGAUCUUGACAUCGCUUUGACCACUCCUAGGAGAUCGUAGCUUUCACCAUUCGGGGACCUAGGUGGAACAGGUGGUAGCCAUGGUUGUCGUGCAGCUCGUGAUCGUGAGAUCGAUGAGAUCUAAGUCCCGCAACCAGCUGCAAACCUUAUCUUGUUAGUUGGCCAUCACUUUACGUGCGGUACUCCUAACCGAAGACUGACCGGGUGGACAAACGUAGGUAGUUGGGGACUGACGUCCAAUUCCAUCAUGCCCCCCCUUUAUUGUGAAACAG
rnacentral:rRNA from 1 species